rnacentral:pre_miRNA from 1 species
UUAACGUUGAUUUGUAUGGUGUUAGAACGUUUGUCUACGUUUGCCGCUAGGGGCGCUGUUCCAAGUCCAUACAAAUUUGAGUUA